rnacentral:tmRNA from 1 species
CACCUUUCAAUUAGGGCAAAACCACCCUAUAUACAAGGUGUCGGGCAACCGACUAUGACGAUAAAUUGCCUGUGUAAUAAACCUAUCGGACCCGGGGGCGGUACCCGGCGCCUCCACCAAAAACCAUCUCGCAAUGAGUGCCGGAUGGCUUUUGAUGGGGGCGAAAUAGGAUCGACGAGGGCGUAAAGACUGUGUUUUCGUUCGGUAUUGUACCACCGUUAUCGGGCUACAACGAUAGUUGCAAAUGACAACUACGCGGAAGCUCGUCUAGCUGCGUAAGCAGUUCGACACUUCAAAUUAAGCCCUAUCGGUUCGCACCUUUAGGCGGGGUUCGGAGGCACCUGGCAACAGAAGCCUUCACC